GUUAGCAGAAUAGAAAGAUAUAUGUCUGUUUACACAGGAAGUCCCUCACUUUGGAAGCUGCGGCGUGGUGAGGGUGUAGAGAUGGAGAAAUCCACAGCCAGAGUGGAGUCUGCACUACUUGCAAGCCUGUGGGGAGGGAGGCAAAGACCUUUAAAUGAAAGCAAGAGGCUGGAAGCAUCAAAAGUAACCACUGUCUGCAGAAAUAAGUGUAAUCCAUGCCCUUCACCAUGAAACUUCUCUGUACAACAGAUGAGGACUAUUAUAGAAACUACAGCCCAUCAAAAUAAAGAGUUGUGAAGCCCAGUCCCAAAGGAUACAUCUAUAGUUGAAUUCCUGCACCCCAAGCUUAGGGAUCAUUUUGGAAAAAGAGAUAAAAAAUGCUGUGUAAGCAAUAGAAAUGCUAAAUUUUCUGUGAGAUUAAAUAUUAAUUCUUAAGAGAAAUUUAUUUCUUUGUGUCAUAUUAGAAAAGAACAUUGGAAUGGUUAGUGUUGUUAAUUUGACAAAAGUUAGUAUCAUUGAGGAAAGAAGUCUUUCUGAGGGACUGUAUAGAUGAGGCUGGCCAAGUAGCAUAUCUGUGGGGGAUUAUCUUGAUUACAUUAAUUGAUUUGAAACUUACCCACUGUGGGUAGAACCAUCCUCUAGGUAGAAGAUACUGGUCUGUAUAUGAGUAGAGAACAGAACUAGCGUGCAAGCCAUUCUAAAUGUUUUUCUGUUGCUGUGAAAGAAUGCCCUGUGGAAACAAUGUAAAGAAGAGUUUAUUUAGGCUUACCAAUCCAGAGUGACGGGAUAAAUCACAGCAUGGAAGGCAUGGCAACAGGAGAAGGAAUUUGAGCAAUUUUGCCUUCAUAAACACACAGGAAGCAGAAAGAACAUCAAGUAGGAUGAGGCUGCGAACACUCAAGACCCAUUCCCAGUGACAUACUUCCUCAACAAGACACUACUGCUGAAGGCUCCAUAACUUUCCCAAACAGCGCCACCACCAAUAAGUCUCAAAUACAUGGGCCUAUGAGGGACACUUCUCAUCUAAGCCUCACCAAAUGCGUUUGUCAUUCUCUGCCUUCUAUUGUGGAUUCCAUGUGUGGAGCUGCUUCAAAAUUCUGGUUUUACUUUCCUGCCAUGAUGGACUGACUGUACCUUGAACUGUGAAGCCAAAUAAAUCAUGUUUUUCUUA